AUCAACGCUGGCGGCGUGCCUCAGACAUGCAAGUCGAACGCGAAAGUUUCCUUCGGGGAACAAGUAGAGUGGCGCACGGGUGAGUAACACGUAGGUAAUCUACCUUUGGAUGGGGAAUAACAACCGGAAACGGUUGCUAAUACCGCAUAAUGCAGCGGCACCUAAUGGUGACAGUUGUUAAAGCGGGGGAUCGCAAGACCUCGCGUCUAAAGAGGAGCCUGCGGCGGAUUAGCUAGUUGGUAAGGUAACGGCUUACCAAGGCGAUGAUCCGUAGCCGGCCUGAGAGGGCGGUCGGCCACACUGACACUGACAUACGGGUCAGACUCCUACGGGAGGCAGCAGUCGGGAAUUUUGGGCAAUGGGCGAAAGCCUGACCCAGCAACGCCGCGUGAAGGAUGAAAUCCCUCGGGAUGUAAACUUCGCAAGAACGGGAAGAAUAAGUUUGUGCUAACACCACAAGCGAUGACGGUACUGUUUGUAAGCUCCGGCUAACUCCGUGCCAGCAGCCGCAGUAAUACGGGGGGAGCAAGCGUUGUCCGGAUUUACUGGGCGUAAAGGGCGCGUAGGCGGCCACCGCAAGUCGGUUGUGAAAUCUCUGGGCUUAACCUAGAAAGGUCAACCGAUACUGCGGGGCUAGAGUGCGGAAGGGGCAACUGGAAUUCUCGGUGUAGCGGUGAAAUGCGUAGAUAUCGAGAGGAACACCUGCGGCGAAGGCGGGUUGCUGGGCCGACACUGACGCUGAACCGCGAAAGCUAGGGGAGCGAACGGGAUUAGAUACCCCGGUAGUCCUAGCCCUAAACUAUGGAUGCUUGGUGUGAUGGGUACCCAAUCCCAUCGUGCCGAAGCUAACGCGAUAAGCAUCCCGCCUGGGGAGUACGGUCGCAAGGCUGAAACUCAAAGGAAUUGACGGGGGCCCGCACAAGCGGUGGAGCAUGUGGUUCAAUUCGACGCAACGCGAAGAACCUUACCUGGGCUCGAAAUGGAGUGGAAUCCGGUGGAAACAUCGGCGCCCGCAAGGGCCGCUCUAUAGGUGCUGCAUGGCUGUCGUCAGCUCGUGUCGUGAGAUGUUGGGUUAAGUCCCGCAACGAGCGCAACCCUUACCGUUAGUUGCCACCGGGUCAAGCCGGGCACUCUAGCGAAACCGCCUCGGAUAACGGGGAGGAAGGUGGGGAUGACGUCAAGUCCUCAUGGCCUUUAUGUCCAGGGCUACACACGUGCUACAAUGGUCGGUACAAACCGUCGCAAACCCGCGAGGGGGAGCUAAUCGGAAAAAGCCGGCCUCAGUUCGGAUUGGAGUCUGCAACUCGACUCCAUGAAGCUGGGAUCGCUAGUAAUCGCAGAUCAGAACGCUGCGGUGAAUACGUUCCCGGGCCUUGUACACACCGCCCGUCACAUCACGAAAGUGGACUGCACUAGAAGCCGGUGAGCUAACCGCAAGGGAGCAACCGUCCAAGGUAUGGUUCAUGAUUGGGGUG
rnacentral:rRNA from 1 species